GACGAACGCUGGCGGCGUGCCUAAUACAUGCAAGUCGAACGAACAGAUGGGAGCUUGCUCCCUGAUGUUAGUGGCGGACGGGUGAGUAACACGUGGGUAACCUGCCUGUAAGAUUGGGAUAACUUCGGGAAACCGAAGCUAAUACCGGAUAAUAUAUAAAACCGCAUGGUUUUAUAUUGAAAGAUGGCUUUUGCUAUCACUUACAGAUGGACCCGCGGCGCAUUAGCUAGUUGGUGAGGUAACGGCUCACCAAGGCGACGAUGCGUAGCCGACCUGAGAGGGUGAUCGGCCACACUGGGACUGAGACACGGCCCAGACUCCUACGGGAGGCAGCAGUAGGGAAUCUUCCGCAAUGGACGAAAGUCUGACGGAGCAACGCCGCGUGAGCGAAGAAGGCCUUCGGGUCGUAAAGCUCUGUUGUUAGGGAAGAACAAGUACCGGAGUAACUGUCGGUACCUUGACGGUACCUAACGAGAGAGCCACGGCUAACUACGUGCCAGCCGCCGCAGUAAAAC
rnacentral:rRNA from 1 species